rnacentral:rRNA from 1 species
UUAGAGUUUGAUCCUGGCUCAGGAUGAACGCUAGCGACAGGCUUAACACAUGCAAGUCGAGGGGCAGCGGGGAGUGAGGCUUGCCUUACUCUGCCGGCGACCGGCGCACGGGUGAGUAACACGUAUGCAACCUACCCUUUACAGCGGGAUAACCGGAAGAAAUUUCGCCUAAUACCGCAUAUACUCCUUGGGAGGCAUCUUCCGAGGGGGAAAGAAUUUCGGUGAAGGAUGGGCAUGCGUCGCAUUAGUUAGUUGGCGGUGUAACGGACCACCAAGACGACGAUGCGUAGGGGUUCUGAGAGGAAGGUCCCCCACACUGGUACUGAGACACGGACCAGACUCCUACGGGAGGCAGCAGUGAGGAAUAUUGGUCAAUGGCCGAGAGGCUGAACCAGCCAAGUCGCGUGAGGGAAGAAUGUCCUAUGGAUUGUAAACCUCUUUUGUCAGGGAGCAAAGUCACCCACGUGUGGGUGUUGGAGAGUACCUGAAGAAAAAGCAUCGGCUAACUCCGUGCCAGCAGCCGCGGUAAUACGGAGGAUGCGAGCGUUAUCCGGAUUUAUUGGGUUUAAAGGGUGCGUAGGCGGGUUAUCAAGUCAGCGGUAAAAUCGUGGAGCUCAACUCCAUCCAGCCGUUGAAACUGAUGAUCUUGAGUGGGCGAGAAGUAUGCGGAAUGCGUGGUGUAGCGGUGAAAUGCAUAGAUAUCACGCAGAACUCCGAUUGCGAAGGCAGCAUACCGGCGCCCGACUGACGCUGAGGCUCGAAAGUGUGGGGAGCAAACAGGAUUAGAUACCCUGGUAGUCCACACCGUAAACGAUGAUUACUAGGUGUGGGGGGUCUGACCCCUUCCGUGCCGGAGUUAACACAAUAAGUAAUCCACCUGGGGAGUACGGCCGCAAGGUUGAAACUCAAAGGAAUUGACGGGGGCCCGCACAAGCAGUGGAGUAUGUGGUUUAAUUCGAAGCAACGCGAAGAACCUUACCAGGUCUUGACAUCGUGCGCAUAGCUCAGAGAUGAGUGAAGCCCUUCGGGGCGCAUAGACAGGUGGUGCAUGGUUGUCGUCAGCUCGUGUCGUGAGAUGCUCAGUUAAGUCUGGCAACGAGCGCAACCCUCGUGAUGUGUUACCAAUAUCGAGUUAGGGACUCACAUCAGACUGCCGGUGAGAAACCGGAGGAAGGCGGGGAUGACGUCAAAUCAUCAUGCCCCUUAUGGCCUGGGCUACACACGUACUACAAUGGCGGCGACAGAGGGCAGCGAGCCUGCGAAGGCAAGCGAAUCCCCAAAAAGCCGUCCCAGUUCGGAUUGGAGUCUGCAACCCGACUCCAUGAAGUUGGAAUCGCUAGUAAUCGCGGAUCAGCAUGCCGCGGUGAAUACGUUCUCGGGCCUUGCACACACCGCCCGUCAAG